UGCAGUCGAACGGGAUCCCAGGAGCUUGCUCCUGGGUGAGAGUGGCGAACGGGUGAGUAAUGCGUGACCGACCUGCCCCAUACACCGGAAUAGCUCCUGGAAACGGGUGGUAAUGCCGGAUGCUCCAGUUGGAUGCAUGUCCUUCUGGGAAAGAUUCAUCGGUAUGGGAUGGGGUCGCGUCCUAUCAGCUUGAUGGCGGGGUAACGGCCCACCAUGGCUUCGACGGGUAGCCGGCCUGAGAGGGCGACCGGCCACAUUGGGACUGAGAUACGGCCCAGACUCCUACGGGAGGCAGCAGUGGGGAAUAUUGCACAAUGGGCGCAAGCCUGAUGCAGCGACGCCGCGUGCGGGAUGACGGCCUUCGGGUUGUAAACCGCUUUUGACUGGGAGCAAGCCCUUCGGGGUGAGUGUACCUUUCGAAUAAGCACCGGCUAACUACGUGCCAGCAGCCGCGGUAAUACGUAGGGUGCAAGCGUUAUCCGGAAUUAUUGGGCGUAAAGGGCUCGUAGGCGGUUCGUCGCGUCCGGUGUGAAAGUCCAUCGCUUAACGGUGGAUCCGCGCCGGGUACGGGCGGGCUUGAGUGCGGUAGGGGAGACUGGAAUUCCCGGUGUAACGGUGGAAUGUGUAGAUAUCGGGAAGAACACCAAUGGCGAAGGCAGGUCUCUGGGCCGUCACUGACGCUGAGGAGCGAAAGCGUGGGGAGCGAACAGGAUUAGAUACCCUGGUAGUCCACGCCGUAAACGGUGGAUGCUGGAUGUGGGGACCAUUCCACGGUCUCCGUGUCGGAGCCAACGCGUUAAGCAUCCCGCCUGGGGAGUACGGCCGCAAGGCUAAAACUCAAAGAAAUUGACGGGGGCCCGCACAAGCGGCGGAGCAUGCGGAUUAAUUCGAUGCAACGCGAAGAACCUUACCUGGGCUUGACAUGUUCCCGACAGCCGUAGAGAUACGGUCUCCCUUCGGGGCGGGUUCACAGGUGGUGCAUGGUCGUCGUCAGCUCGUGUCGUGAGAUGUUGGGGUUAAGUCCCGCAACGAGCGCAACCCUCGCCCUGUGUUGCCAGCACGUC
rnacentral:rRNA from 1 species